ACAAUGAUUGCAGUGUGUGACAUUACUGUGAGCGAAUGAUAGAAUGGCAGAUAGACUGUCUUUGCAGGAUCAUGCCAAGAUUGCUUCAUAGUUUGAAGGGUGGAUAUCUGUCAUCCUUGUGCAGGAAUGGUGGCAAAGCAUUCACAGGCAAUAUACUAAACUUCAUCCAUACAUUAUCCAAAAAUUGUCACAAAAAAUUAAUGGCAGCUGGAUCAAUUACAGAUGCAAUUGAUCUGGUUGCCAUUAAUUUUUUUGUAGCAUAUUAGUUAAAUCAACAUGCCAAAUUUAUUCUCACAAGUGGCCUGGCAUGUUGAUUUUAUUAGAGCUGUCAAUGAACAUUUUCCUAAACUGAUGCUACAUUCUCUGGGGUCUGCACUGCUGACUGUCAUCCACUUUGUCUUGCAUCUGCAACCAAUCCAGUUGUCAUUAAUUUUUUUGUCAAUUUUGGAUAGUGUUGUGAUGAAGUGUAGCAUGUUGCCUUCCUCCACAAGGACAAAAGAUUUCUUGUUCCACCAUUCCUCCACAAGAACAAAAGAUUUCUAGCCUUCAAACUAUGAGGCUGUCUUUGCAUGAUCCUGCAAAGACGGUUGGUCUGCUAUUUUGUCAGGUGCUCGCAGUGAUGUCAUAUCACUGCUGUCAUUGUCUUGCUACUUCAUAGUGUUCUCAGAGACUCUAGAACAAAGAAAUAAUUUGUAAAUCUGUUAAUAUUUAACAAACUUAGUCAUUUCAAAUCAGAUAGUGACUUUUCAUAUACUCUAUAGAUUAGAUAUCGCAACAAGCAUUCUUGAAGAU
rnacentral:lncRNA from 1 species